GUCUGUAUUCAAAAGCUACAAAAGAAAUCAAACAUGUAGAUCUGAUCAUCUUCUCUGCAUCUAUAUCAGACUCUGCUCUGUACUAUGUGCUCUGCAGCCCUCAGUGACAGGAAACACAAUACAGUGCAGAAAACGGUGGCGAGGAAGGAGGGGCUUAAAGUACUGUAUAUCUGACAGUAGUUUGUCAAAACUGACAUAAGAUCAUUUCAUCUGAGACUGUAAGAAAAAACACAAUGAUUCUCCAUUCAGUUAUUCUGCUCUCUGCUUUAGCAUGUGCCAGUAACGGAGAUACCAUUAAACCAGACAAAACAGAGGAGUUUGUUGCAGAGGGUUCAAGUGUUAACUUAUCCUGCAGUUAUUCAUCUGCAUGGUCUUUACUUUGGUACCGUCAGUAUCCCGGAUCAGCUCCUGAGUUCCUUGUGCUCAUCUCAGAUGGAGAAAAAGAAGCUCAGACGUCUAAAGUGGAUCAAAGAUUCAGUACUAAUAAUAGAAAAGAAGAACAAAAUCGUGUGGAUCUAAUCAUCUCCUCUGUUGCAGUAUCAGACUCUGCUCUGUACUACUGUGCUCUGAGGCCCACAGUGACAGGAAACACAAGAACACUGUACAAAAACCUGACUCUAAAAAGAAACAAUAGUCUUCUACAGACAGAGAGAAAUGUGACCCUUAAAUUGUGAAUUCCAGAUUCUAGACCCCUCUGGUAUCUAAGCAUUUUGCCAAUUCAGAAAAGACUAAAACAAUAUGGCAGAAAUCAACUUUUCACAUGCACAAAUGUGCUCAAUACAUUGUGUAAAGGCACACUUUCUUUAAAUCAUUUACUUUACUGCAAGGAAUAAAAAGGCACAUAAUGCCCAUUACUAAAGGCUUUACAAUUUAGAGAUCACGCAUUUGUUCAAAAACAUAUUCAGG
ensembl:lncRNA